GGUGUGCACCCGAUUCUCGUUCGAUCACCGAAGUUAAGCCACCUCGAACCCGGUCAGUAUUUAAAUGGGGGACCUCUUGGGAACACU